UCUAUGAUGAUAAAUUUGGUCCGUGUUUAUGAAUUUCUUUGAUUACUAUUCAAACCAUUUCUGAUAAUA
rnacentral:snoRNA from 1 species